rnacentral:tRNA from 1 species
UCCGCGGUAGCUCAGCGGUAGAGCGGUCGGCUGUUAACCGAUUGGUCGUAGGUUCGAUUCCUACCCGCGGAGCCA